rnacentral:misc_RNA from 1 species
UGGUACACCCUAAGGCCCAGCCUUGCGUUGGCCCAGGUCCUUGCCGUCCGAAAGGGCGGGUGCGGACCGGGCCGAAACACAUUGAGGCGUCGCCCUGCGAUCAGCUAUGCGCAACAGCAGCAGCUUUGAUGGCGGGCGUGGCAGCCAGUGACACCCACAA